rnacentral:lncRNA from 1 species
GCAUGCAAGGAUCUAUAUUCACAUCCAUCUUUAUUUACAUAGAUGGUGUGCAUGCUGCACAUUUGGAAUGUCGAGACAACAAUAAUAGUGAUGUAUGCCUAGUGGGUAUGUGUUGAUAUUUCUCAUACGAUUAUAAAUAAAAAAGUCAAACCCUAUCCUAGUAAUGGCAUUAGAAAUAUUUGGGACAUCUCCUAGCAUUGCUUAAGUUAGGUUGUCAUUCCCAACACAACACCAAAAGAUGUAGUUGUACUUAUGAUCAUGGCACUAUAGAUAAUGAAUAGAGGUUAUCCGCAAGCGCACAGAUAAAAUACACUCGUCGUUGUAGCAUUUCACCCAGGAAAGUUCUAGGUAUCGUUAUUUAUAAUUUUACCAGGGGAAGGUACUUGGAGGUAUGAAAGCUAUAUCUUACACUUGUGUUAAGAGUUCCACCAGAUCAAUACUCGAAACAGGGAUCAAUCAUAUCAUAAAUAAGGAUAAUUAAUAAUAGGUCAAUUAUAUCUCAAAGAGGUUCCACCGAACAUUUUUCUACUUGGGCGUGAUUCUAGAAAGAACUAGAAAAUAGAGACUAACUCCUAGGGUUAUUCUAACUAUAGGUC